rnacentral:rRNA from 1 species
UCUACGGGUGGCAGCAGUGGGGAAUAUUGGACAAUGGGCGAAAGCCUGAUCCAGCCAUGCCGCGUGUGUGAAGAAGGCCUUCGGGUUGUAAAGCACUUUCAGUGGGGAAGAAAGCCUUGGGGCUAAUACCCUCGAGGAAGGACAUCACCCACAGAAGAAGCACCGGCUAACUCCGUGCCAGCAGCCGCGGUAAUACGGAGGGUGCGAGCGUUAAUCGGAAUUACUGGGCGCAAAGCGCGCGUAGGCGGUCUGAUAAGCCGGUUGUGAAAGCCCCGGGCUCAACCUGGGAACGGCAUCCGGAACUGUCAGGCUAGAGUGCAGGAGAGGAAGGUAGAAUUCCCGGUGUAGCGGUGAAAUGCGUAGAGAUCGGGAGGAAUACCAGUGGCGAAGGCGGCCUUCUGGACUGACACUGACGCUGAGGUGCGAAAGCGUGGGUAGCAAACAGGAUUAGAUACCCUUGUAGUC